GUGUUAGUAAUCAUCAGGGGUAGAGCUCUGAAAAGGUUUGGGGCCGGCAACGGUACCCACCCUUAACAAACUACGAAUACUGGUUGUGUAAUCACGGCAGUUAGAACGGCGGAGCUAAGUUCGUCGCUCAAAAGGGAAACAGCCCAGACCAUCAUCUAAGGUCCCUAAUUAACGUUCAGUGGGAAACAAGGUGAGAUUUCUUAAACAGCUAGGAUGUUGGCUUAGAAGCAGCCAUUCAUUUAAAGAGUGCGUAACAGCUCACUAGUCAAGAGAUCUUGCGUGGAAAAUGUAACGGGGCUAAACGUAAUACCGAAGACAUGGGUCUAUGCAUUAGCAUGGGCGGUAGAGGAGCGUUCCUAUCGGCAGUGAAGCAGCAUUGUAAAGUGCUGUGGAGCGGUAGGAAGUGAGAAUGCUGGAAUGAGUAACCAUAAGAGAGGUGAGAAUCCUCUCGGCCGUAAGAGCAAGGUUUCCUGAGCCAUGGUAAUCAUCUCAGGGUUAGUCGGGCCUAAGCCGAGGCGCAGAGCGUAGGCGAUGGACAUCAGGUUAAUAUUCC
rnacentral:rRNA from 1 species